UACGAAGGUCCCAAGCGUUAUCCGGAUUUAUUGGGUUUAAAGGGUGCGUAGGCGGCCCGUUAAGUCAGUGGUGAAAGCCUCCAGCUCAACUGGAGAACUGCCAUUGAUACUGGCGGGCUUGAGUACAGACGAGGUUGGCGGAAUUGAUUGUGUAGCGGUGAAAUGCAUAGAUACAAUCAAGAACACCGAUUGCGUAGGCAGCUAACUAAGCAAAUAUUGACGCUGAGGCACGAAAGCGUGGGGAUCAAACAGG
rnacentral:rRNA from 1 species